UACGAAGGGGGCUAGCGUUGCUCGGAAUGACUGGGCGUAAAGGGCGCGUAGGCGGAUGGCACAGUCAGAUGUGAAAUUCCCGGGCUUAACCUGGGGGCUGCAUUUGAUACGUGUUGUCUUGAGUUCGGAAGAGGGUCGUGGAAUUCCUAGUGUAGCGGUGAAAUGCGUAGAUAUUAGGAGGAACACCAGUGGCGAAGGCGGCUUACUGGACUGUAACUGACGUUGAGGCUCGAAAGCGUGGGGAGCAAACAGG
rnacentral:rRNA from 1 species